AUUGAACGCUGGCGGCAGGCCUAACACAUGCAAGUCGAACGAGUGGCGGACGGGUGAGUAAUGUCUGGGAAACUGCCUGAUGGAGGGGGAUAACUACUGGAAACGGUAGCUAAUACCGCAUACCAUCGGAUGUGCCCAGAUGGGAUUAGCUAGUAGGUGGGGUAAAGGCUAACCUAGGCGACGAUCCCUAGCUGGUCUGAGAGGAUGACCGGCAACCCGGGAAAUGAGACACGGUCCAGACGCCGACGGUAGGCAGCAGGGGGGACGAUUGCACAAUGGGCGCAAGCCUGAUGCAGCCAUGCCGCGUGUAUGAAGAAGGCCUUCGGGUUGUACAGUACUUUCAGCGGGGAGGCGUUACCCGCAGAAGAAGCACCGGCUAACUCCGUGCCAGCAGCCGCGGUAAUUC
rnacentral:rRNA from 1 species